GUAGGAAGUUGUCUCUAGUGUUGUACCUUGUGCUCCGUUGUGGGGAGAGCGUGAGUGAGCUCGGCAGCUACACCAUGAAAGGACCAACUGAGGCCUAUUUGGAUCCCAGCCAGAAAUGUCCAGCAACACACCCCCAACCAUAAAGAUGGCUCAUCUCUCACUGUCUGGUCAGGGACAGAGAAGAUAGAAGAAACUCCACCUCUUGAAGAACAACAAAAUCUCCUGAAGGGACAUCCAUGACCUGGUGGCCACUGCCCAAGCCAUAUGCCCUCCCACCUCCUCUGCUAUUUUAAUGGUAGUCUUUAUUAUAGGGCUGUCCUGCCACCAUUUAACUCCCUAAUUCUCAACUCAACAGUCACCACUGGCAUGUUUUCUUUGAGGAAACCUACUCGGACAUAAAACAAUGAUAUUGGAUCCAUAGACUGGCCCAACCAAGGAUGCCAUUCCUAUUUCAACACCUAAAUAACCAUCUCACCAUUAUUGUAGAUGACUCCUGGAAUGAAAGAUAAAGAACAGGAGUCAUAGGAAAACAGUUAUGUUAAAUAUCUCUCUGCUGAUGUUCAUAUUUCUCAACAGCUAUUGCAGACCUCCAGUCCAUGCUAACCCAUAGAAAUAUUCUUAAAGAGGAGAUACAGCUAAGAAGAAAUGCUCAGCCCACCCUAGCUACAGUCUGUCCAUAUGAAGAGAAAGAAGUGACACUGCUGCUAAUCAAAGACAAAAGAUAUUCCUUCCUUUACUGAUAGCAAUAAGACUUGCCAUCUUGUCAUCUCCUUUGGAUCUUCCAGGGCUACAACAACUGCCAUCGUCCAGACAUAUCAUCUGUCUGGAGACUUCAGAUACAGACUUGAUCAGACAAUGAUAUCUACAACUGAGAGCCUUGAGUCACUUGAAAAACAGAUGAAGUCUCUUGCCAGGGUUGUGCUCCAAAACAAAAGAGCAUUAGACCUCAUAAGUGCUGAACAUGGGGAAACUUGCUUCGUAUUAGGGGAAGAAUGUUGCUUUUAUGUAAACAAAUCAGAUGUUGUUAAACUAAUGUCAACACUCAAAAAACUAUACAAAGACCUACUCUCAAAAUCACAGUCUGUAUAACAAAUUAGCUGGUUCCAUAAACACUUAUUUUCUUGGCUCCUACACUUUAUUGGUACUCUGAUUAUGCUGUUUUAUUUUGAUGUUUGCCCCCACCUGUAGCUGGAGAAUUUCUCUCCAGCUCCCGCCAAGUCCCGGCAGUCCAACAAACCACUUAUAAAAUAAACACACAGAUGCUUAUAUUAUUAAACUGUUUGGCCUAAUGGCUCAGGCUUCUAGCUAUCUAGUUCUUACAUCUUAAAUUAAUCCAUUUCUAUAAAUCUAUACCUUGCCAUGUGGCUCAUGGCUUACCAGCAUCUUCACAUGCUGCUUGUCAUGGUGCUGGCUGGCAGUGUCUCCCUCCACCUUCCUGUUCUCUCAAUUCUCCUCUCUGUUAGUCCUGCCUAUACUUCUUGCCUGGCCACUGGCCAAUCAGUGUUUUAUUUAUUGACCAAUCAGAGCAAUUUGACAUACAGACCAUCCCACAGCACCUACCUUAUUCAGUUCGUCCAGUGACAGAUCACCACCAUUGCUAAAUUACCAGCAGUCAGGUAAUGGUUCACUACCAGGCCCUGGAACCUUCUGGCACAGGCCACAGGUUCCUUAGGGAUUAAAAUGACACCUCUCUAUUAAAAAAAAUAAAAUGGGAGAUGUUGGAAGACAUUGUCUCAGAGACAGAGGUCUCAGCCUCCCCGUGGCCUGGCAGCUUAUCUCAGUAGCUCAGCAGCAUAGAGUUCCUUGCCUCCAACAAAGAUUCCUGCUCUCUACCUGCCCUUAUCUGGAGAAUAUUCUAGGGCCUGGAAGACUGACCUUAUCUAAAAGCUGUCUCUAAACUAGAUGCCUGAUUUGUCUUUACCUUGACCCUUGGCACAGAUCCUCGCUAAGAAGACUUGCUCUAGGAGCUCUGUUAUAGGACCUUACUGUCACAUACUAAGCCUUGUGAUAGGAGCAUGCCUAUAUAUUCCUUAUAGUCUGGAAGAAAAUUGAGCUGAUUCACUGAAAUCUGUCUCCCAGAAGGCUGUCUCCAUUUCUGCUCUUGGGCUGUGUACAAAGCUUUCUGUCACUCCUACCUCUUUCCCUUUUCAGCCUGGUGGCCAACAGGGUGAGAGGGAAAGAGGAUUCCAUAAUUUGUAGGUGGAGUUUUCUGUCCCACCAACCCACUCCCAAAUAACCGCACAGAGAUUUAGUAAUUCUAAGUGCUUGCCAGAUAGCUUAGGCUUGUUACUAACCAGCUCUUACAACUUAAAUUAACCCAUAUUUUUUAUCUAUUCUCUACCAUGUGGCAAUACCUUUUUUCAGCAUGGCAAGUUCAUCUGCUUUCUC